rnacentral:rRNA from 1 species
AAUAGCCUAACGGCUGAACCAGCAACUUGGAGGAAUGUAUAGCAAAACUCUAAUUGCACCAACAAAUAGUUAGUGCAAUAUCGACUCUGUUGAAUAAAAUUCUAGGUAGAAUUACGAUAAUGACGUUGUCUGCCUAUGUGUCUUGACCAAAUUACGUGCCAGCAGUCGCGGUAAUACGUAGAAGACUAGUGUUAUUCAUCUUUAAUAGGUUUAAAGGGUACCUAGACGGUAAAUCAAGCCUGCGAGGGGACUAAUGUACUAGAGUUACUUGUGAGGGGGUUUUAAAGUACUGCUGGUGUAGAGAUGAAAUUCUUUCAUACCUUUUUUCACAGAAAAAAUAACGGCACAGGUAUAGGCGAAAGCAUCCCCUUAUGUGAUAACUGACGUUGAAGGACGAAGGCUUUGUGUAGCGAACAGGAUUAGAUACCCCAGUAGUCGAAGCAGAAAAUGAUGAGUGUCAUAGAUUAGACAUAUCUUGGUUUAUUCUAUAAAUGAAAGUGUAAGCACUCCACCUCAAGAGUAAUUUGGCAACAUUGGAACUGAAAUCAUUAGACCGUUUCUGAAACCAGUAGUGAAGUAUGUUGUUUAAUUUGAUUGCCCGCAAAAAACCUUACCACAAUUUGAAUAUUUAUAAUAUUUCUUUUCUUUUUUAUGUUUUCAUAAUUUAUUAUUAUUAAGAUCAAGGAUAAAUGAUUAAAAUAAAAAAUAAAUGAUAUUAAUAAAAAAUAAAGGAUGAAAAUAAAGCUGAGAGAGGAAACAUGUAUUUACAAGCGUUGCACGGCUGUCUUCAGUUAAUGUCGUGAGACUUUGGUUAGUUCCAUUUAAUUAACGUAAACCCUUACUUUAUUUUUACAUAAAGUAGUUCCCCACUAGAUUGGAUAUGACAACAGGGACUAAGACAAGUCAUUUUGGCCUUAAUAUUGUGGGCUAUAGACGUGCCACAUAAACCUUACAAAAGGAUG